UACGUAGGUGACCAGCGUUGUCCGGAUUUACUGGGCGUAAAGAGCGCGCAGGCGGUCGUUCAAGUCGAGUGUGAAAGCCCCCGGCUCAACUGGGGAGGGUCAUUCGAUACUGAUCGACUCGAAGGCAGGAGAGGGAAGCGGAAUUCCCGGUGUAGUGGUGAAAUGCGUAGAUAUCUGGAGGAACACCGGUGGCGAAGGCGGCAUCCUGGACCGGUAUUGACACUGAGGCGCGAAAGCCAGGGGAGCAAACGGG
rnacentral:rRNA from 1 species